GAGGCAUGGACCACCAGCUUCGGAAUCCACAUUCCUGAACCAAAGCCUGUGCCAGCUCUGAAAUGGCACUGCAUUGAGAUGUCCCCUGGCUACUACCCUGAAAGUGGGAGCAGCAAGUCCAGGUAGCAUCAACAGCAGCCCUGCUCCCAGAGGAACUUCAAAGUACAAGGCUACUUUGACAAGCUUAAAACAGAACUACGCAUCACUCAGAAAGAAAAACCUGUUUUCUGUCAUGCCUGGUGGGAAAAGCCAUUGCAGAGCCCCUUGCUACCCGGUGGAAGAGGCCAUGGCAGUGUUCCAGGAAGUCCAAGUACAGAUUAGAACAGCAUGAGAACCUUUAUUAACAUAUACCACUAUCAUGAAGGAAAUACAGAGAGGAGAUGUAUUUUUUAUUACAACACGGAUACAGUUGGAAAGGCCAGCAGGGGGAAACCCUAAGGAAUCUCCAUGCUGAUUUCCAUAGUGAUUGCAUCAUACAUUCCCACCAGCAAUGAAGAAGGGAUCCUUUUCUCCCUGUAGCCUCUCCAGCAUUCCCCCCCAUCCCCCUACACCGUACCAGGCAUUGAACUCAGGACCUUGCACUUGCCAAACAGGAUUCGGACCCUCUCCAUAGCUGUGGCAGCAGUUGGGAAGGCAGCUGACUGAACAGAGAACCUUAUCUCUUUCCAACCUCUCCCGACUAUUGUAAAUAUCAAAUUAAGUCAUUUACACCCUUUGGAAAGAUCUAAAAUGCUAUACAAAUGUAAGGUAUGUUUUUCCUAUUAUUUUU
rnacentral:lncRNA from 1 species